AACAGGAUUAGAUACCCUGGUAGUCCACGCCGUAAACGAUGUCGACUUGGAGGUUGUUCCCUUGAGGAGUGGCUUCCGGAGCUAACGCGUUAAGUCGACCGCCUGGGGAGUACGGCCGCAAGGUUAAAACUCAAAUGAAUUGACGGGGGCCCGCACAAGCGGUGGAGCAUGUGGUUUAAUUCGAUGCAACGCGAAGAACCUUACCUACUCUUGACAUCCACGGAAUUUGGCAGAGAUGCCUUAGUGCCUUCGGGAACCGUGAGACAGGUGCUGCAUGGCUGUCGUCAGCUCGUGUUGUGAAAUGUUGGGUUAAGUCCCGCAACGAGCGCAACCCUUAUCCUUUGUUGCCAGCGAUUCGGUCGGAAACUCAAAGGAGACUGCCGGUGAUAAACCGGAGGAAGGUGGGGAUGACGUCAAGUCAUCAUGGCCCUUACGAGUAGGGCUACACACGUGCUACAAUGGCGCAUACAAAGAGAAGCGACCUCGCGAGAGCAAGCGGACCUCACAAAGUGCGUCGUAGUCCGGAUCGGAGUCUGCAACUCGACUCCGUGAAGUCGGAAUCGCUAGUAAUCGUGGAUCAGAAUGCCACGGUGAAUACGUUCCCGGGCCUUGUACACACCGCCCGUCACACCAUGGGAGUGGGUUGCAAAAGAAGUAGGUAGCUUAACCUUCGGGAGUGCGCUUACCACUUUGUGAUUCAUGACUGGGGUGAAGUCGUAACAAGGUAACC
rnacentral:rRNA from 1 species